rnacentral:rRNA from 1 species
UACGAAGAGUGCAAGCGUUAAUCGGAAUUACUGGGCGUAAAGGGUGCGUAGGCGGUUGUUUAAGUCUGUCGUGAAAUCCCCGGGCUCAACCUGGGAAUGGCGAUGGAUACUGGGCAGCUAGAGUGUGUCAGAGGAUGGUGGAAUUCCCGGUGUAGCGGUGAAAUGCGUAGAGAUCGGGAGGAACAUCAGUGGCGAAGGCGGCCAUCUGGGACAACACUGACGCUGAAGCACGAAAGCGUGGGGAGCAAACAGG